rnacentral:rRNA from 1 species
GACGUAGGGCGCGAGCGUUGUCCGGAAUUAUUGGGCGUAAAGAGCUCGUAGGCGGUCUGUCGCGUCGGAUGUGAAAACCCAGGGCUCAACCCUGGGCCUGCAUUCGAUACGGGCAGACUAGAGUUCGGUAGGGGAGACUGGAAUUCCUGGUGUAGCGGUGAAAUGCGCAGAUAUCAGGAGGAACACCGGUGGCGAAGGCGGGUCUCUGGGCCGAUACUGACGCUGAGGAGCGAAAGCGUGGGGAGCGAACAGG